CAAUAGCGUAUAUUUAAGUUGCUGCAGUUAAAAAGCUCGUAGUUGGAUUUCGGGUGGGAAUGGCCGGUCCGCCGUUUCGGUGUGCACUUGCUACGCCCACCUUGCUGCCGGGGACGUGCUCUUGAGUUCACGCUCGGGACACGGAGUCGGCGAGGUUACUUUGAGUAAAUUAGAGUGUUCAAAGCAGGCCUACGCUCUGAAUACAUUAGCAUGGAAUAACACGAUAGGACUCUGGCCUAUCUUGUUGGUCUGUAGGACCGGAGUAAUGAUUAAGAGGGACAGUCGGGGGCAUUCGUAUUUCAUUGUCAGAGGUGAAAUUCUUGGAUCGUCGGAUGACGCACUACUGCGAAAGCAUUUGCCAAGAAUGUUUUCAUUAA
rnacentral:rRNA from 1 species